CGAACGCCAGCCUCAUCUGGUGAACAUAGCGAUGCAUCCAGCUCUCCCGCUGCCUCGCCUGUGUGUAUUGAAUAGGAGUUGGAAAGGACUGGAGUUUUUUGCUUUGAGUCACUGAGCAGCGCGGGGCUGUGUGAUCAGGACAUUCAGAUACAGCUAACCCUGUAAGAAUGCCAUUUCAGGAUUACGUCGAGCGAGGGAGAGAGGCAACUGCAUUCCCACUGGUCACCAGCCUUCCCCCUUGCCCAGUCCUCUCUACUGAUGGCUGUGAAUUGAAAAGGUAAUUUAAUCCAGAUUCGGACUGGACACUCAGAGGGAGAGAGAGAGGGAGAAAAAUGUUUGAAAACGUCACAUCUACCGAUGAUCACGUUUACGGAUCUUCAAUUAUCCCUUACCACGAAGAUAGGUGGCGUGCGUUUCUGGGGCCGCACUUCAGGGACUCUCUUUAUAGAAAAAUGUCAUUCCAACAAGCGGAACACGUCAGUCCGUCCACAGGUUGUGUUUCCUGGUGUGAGAGACAACGGAGCGAUCAGUUCUAACCUGCACAGCAGGAAUAACGGUCCUUCCUCAAGUCUUUAAAGGUUUCUUUUUUUCCCUUUCCUUUUGAACAAAAAUCUCGCCUUGAUCUUCAUGUUCCUUCAUCUGCACGCUGUCGACCUCCCAGCAGUCUUACUAAACAACAGAGCCAGGACAGAGCAGGACCGUAAAGCGUCGUGAAAAGAGCCGGGGGGACGAGCCGAUGCCGAGUCCUGGAAUCUGAUCAGACUCUUAUCAAUGAAGCAGCAGAUCAUGGCGGAUGGCCCCAGGUGUAAGAGGCGAAAACAAGCCAACCCCAGGAGGAAAAACGGGACCUGACAAGCUGACAGAGUGGAACCUGUGACUCAUUCCUGCCUCAAAUCAUCAAGUGACAUACAGGGAGUGCAUAUUUUAAUGGAUGGGCGUUGGAAUGAAGAUGAUUUUGAAAGAGGUCGAACCCCUUCUUGUCAGUCUGAGAAGGGUUGGCUCUCUGCUGUAAAAUCAGUUCUAAGUGCCAUUAGUCUGAUGUCCUUGAUAUUUGAUGCAGGUUUUCUCUGAACUGGUCUAAUUUCUACACCUUUCCAUAUGAAGCAGUGAAACGCCUAUGUUCCUGUUAUCCUCACCGGUUAAGUUUGCUUAAACUGUCUGAGCUCUUUGAAUUUUGAAUUCCGUUGAUGCUAUCAAUUUUGUCAUUUAACAGCUGUGAGAAUGAUCACUAGAGCUAAAAUGUUUUAAACCAUUGGGGCUGAGAAUGGAAUUGUCAUUGAGGAUUCUCAUAGUAAAAACUUUCUGCUUUAAAUUGCACUUGUAAAGAGUGUGUGGAUUUGAAGAGAGAGCUCAAGGAGGGGUUAAAACCUAGUUCUCAGGCUAAGAGCAGAAGGCUAUGUUAUUUUAAUGGUGCUUAAAUUGAGUUUGAAGGCAAUUUUGCUGUGUGAAAUGAAUAUUGAAGCUAAAUUAAAUUGUGACCACCAAAAACCCUUUUUUGUGAGUUAAUAUAUAUUUUGAUGUUUUAAUUAAUUUUUACAUUAUUACUUGAUUUACUUAGUAAUGAGGCAAAAUUAAUUAAUAAUUAUAAUAACAGUAACUCAUUCCCAGGAAGGUUAUACUAAAGUAAUUACAAAUUAAAAAUGGAAUCUUGUAGUUUUGCUUUGUGUUCUAGUAAUGUGCAAUAAAAUAAUUUAAGGCCAAAAAACUCUUUCAUUUGCAAUAUAAUUGCUUCUUUUUGCACAUCCUCAGUACAGUUAAUUAAAAGCGCUGAUUAUAUUCAGUUACGCUACCUUUGUACCUAAAACAUCUUGACCAAAUGAUAAAACAGGUGCAAGUAUAUUUAAAAGUAAAAUUGCAAUUAGCAUUGGAAAUUGUGAAAUUGAUAGAAAUUGCUGCUAAUUUUAGUCUGUGACAACAUAAUUUAUCCACCUCAAACACAGAUAGUGCUCAAACGAACAAUUACCUCCUUCUCCAUUUGCAAUCUGCAGGUGAAAGUGUUUGCUAAAUAUUUAAGCAACGUGAGGAUGUUUUCUCAUAUUGAGUAGGUUUCUACAGUGUGGAAUGGGAGAGAGGAGUUGAAUGAAUAGUUUCUGGUUAAAGGUAUAGAAAUAGAUAAGACUUUCUUUCUCCUUCUCUGGGAGAGGUUAAGUUGCUUGUGAGGUGGCCUCUUUACAUGGAAUACAUUAACCCAUUAAGGGCCAGGCUGGCACCCUGCACUGUGUUGAAGUUCAUUCUGUUCAUUCACAGAAUCGUAUCUUGUGCAUUUCUUGAAUGGCUGUUCCAUUUGUAACUGACACUAGAAAUGCCCAGAGUACAAUUUGUGCGAAUGUUUGUAUCACUUAUGCUCUUCUGUUCCGAUAAGUCUGAGAAUGAAAUGGAGGACUUGAGAAGAAAUGUUAGGUAGUUGUGCCACUGCAGAAGGUGGCUACAAAAGGUGACAUAUUUUUGAAGUGAAGUGAAGGUGAGAAGAAAUCUUAAUUCAGCACAUAAACUGUGAGGGACACGUUAUAUAUUUUUUAAUUAAGUUAGAUAUGUCAGCCUGGCCUGUGCAAUUUAAUUUCCAAUUGUACAUUAUAUGUUUGCCUUGAAUGGAAAUAUUGAUAUCGUACUUCUGCUCUGAUUUAAGUAUCAUAUUUAAACAGUACAUUUUACAUAAAUGGAUAUAUUUAUAAGCAUGUUUAAUUAGUACAAUUAUAACGCACACAGUGUUUCUGUUUACACAGUACCUGCACUGUAGUUAAAUAGGAACAUUUAUAAAUUGUUUUCUGUAAUUGAAUAAACAUGUUUAUAAAGUGUU